ACGCCCCACUCCGGGCGCGCGUGCCUUCUUUGACAGAGCUGAGGAACAUUUUGCCUCGGGCCCGCACAGAUGGCCACGCCCCCAAGCACUUACAGGCCCGCUCUCGGGACCGGAGACUGUCCCAAGGUCUGUCAAGUGUUGGGGCUCCUGAGACUCAGUGGUUCUACCUAUUCCCAUCAGCUCUAACAAAGCGGGAGCUGCUGUCUCACCCGUAGGCAAGUCAGAAGAUGGAACUGCAAUAAUGACUAGAAGCAGACAACUACAGGGACUUGCCAGCCCAGCCCAGCCCAGCCCAGCCCUGCCCAGCCGAGUUCUGCUUACCUUGUUGGAAGGUUCCAGCUUCAGGGCAGCCCUCAGGAUUGGGAUGGCCUCACUAUAUUCACCUUGCUGAGCCAGCACCUAUGGGAGAGAGGCACCCACUCUAUCUGCCCAGAGCUCACUCCCACCCACCCUGCAAGGAUACCAUGAUCUCAAGCCACAGCUUGGCACUGGUAUCACUGAUGGGACAAGGGAUUUGGAGACAGGCAUUUCAGAUCACAGGAGCCUCAGAUAAGACUCAAUAUCCCAUGGUCAUACAAAUCCCACCAGAUUUGAAGACAACUUUCCUGAUGGGACAGUUUGAACAGCCAACCAUCUUUCUGGAUUUUUCCACUAUAGCCCAGGAGGACCUAGAUUGUGUGGCCUCAGUCUCCUGGGUGUUGGGACUAAUAGCCUACACAGAUGUCUCGCUACAAUCCUUCUUUAGGUUUCAGCUCUGUGGCUGGGCUCCAGGGCCUGGGUUCAAUACUGAGGCUCCUAGAGCAGCACACCUGGCUUUCCUGCAGCACACCUGGCUUCCCUGCAGCGCACCUGGCUUUCCUGCAGCACACCUGGCUUCCCUGCAGCACACCUGGCUUCCCUGCAGCACACCUGGCUUCCCUGCAGCGCACCUGGCUUACCUGCAGCGCUCCUGGUUUCCCUGCAGCACACCUGGCUUCCCUGCAGCACUCCUGGUUUCCCUGCAGCACACCUGGCUUCCCUGCAGCACACCUGGCUUCCCUGCUGCACACCUGGCUUCCCUGCAGUACACCUGGCUUCCCUGCAGCACAACUGGCUUCCCUGCAGCACACCUGGCUUCCCUGCAGUACACCUGGCUUCCCUGAAGCACACCUGGCUUCCCUGCUGCACACCUGGCUUCCCUGCAGUACACCUGGCUUCCCUGCAGUACACCUGGCUUCCCUGCAGCACACCUGGCUUCCCUGCAGUACACCUGGCUUCCCUGCAGUACACCUGGCUUCCCUGAAGCACACCUGGCUUCCCUGCGGCACACCUGGUUUCCCUGCAUGGUGCUACAUAAGCAGCUUCCACACACCCCAAGUGUCUCUGUCUCUGUUUCUUUGGCCUAUACAAGCUCUAGGGCUGCACCACCACAAAACAUUAACAAGUGCACCAGGCAAAAAGGGAGCCAUGCAGAGCCAGACAACCAGGACUGAGUGGACGGACAGCCUGUGCUGAAUGGAUGGCCUAGAAACUAGUAAAGAGAGGCUGUGUCCCCCAGCCCAGCCUGGCCAUACCAUCUGUAGUGGCCACAGCUGGUGGAACCUGGGCAGAAGAGACAGUAUGGGAGCAGAGACACAAUGGCUUAGGACUCCCAAGGCCAUGAUAUGACAAAGCCAGUUUUCCCUCUGGAAAAGAAGAUGGCAGCCAAAGAGGAUCGUAUACAAGAAGUGUUCACCGCAAACUGUGGGGAUCCCAAGACUAGAAGUCGUCCUAUGGUUGCAACGCACCUUGCCCUUGCGGAACAGUGCCUUGAUGUUGUCCGGCUGGUGCUCCAGCACCUGGCUACAGGAGCGCAGAGCUGCUCGGUAGUGGUCCAGCUUCAGCUGUGAGGCCGCAAGGUUGUUCAGACACUUGACCUUCAGCUGUAGCAGCUCCUCUUCCUCCUCACAAGUCAUGUCCACUGUAGGGGAGUGGUCACUGGGAAACAGGCACACCCUCCCCUGGGGUCUACACCACCAGACCCCUAAGAGGCCACCCAAGUCCUUACACCACAAUUAGGGUCUGGAGCAGCUAUGGAUAGCCUCCAACUCACUAUGUAGUGAUGAGAGUGACCUUGAACCCCUGACCUUCCUAUGGCCACCCUCAUGCUAAGCUGACAGGCCCAUGCCACCAAGGGCUUGUGUGAGGAUGUAAAUUCAGAUUCCAGGUCUCACUUCUGAGUCAAGUGCAGUCUGCAUGUGUGUAAUCUCAGCACUGGGGAGAGGCAGGCACAGCCACUUAGUCAGAGCUCUGGGGCCAAUGACAUGUCAGAGAAUGUGGGCAGCAACUGAGAAAAACACCAGGCUUUCACCUCUGACCCCCACUGCAAGUGAACACGUGCGCGCGCGCGCACACACACACACACACACACACACACACACACACACAUACACACAAAGUGUCUUGCAAUGUAACCCAGACUAGACUACUAGACUACAAUUGUCCAUUUUCCUGCCUUAGCUUCUGACCACACAUACACCACCUGGAAGAAGCCACUGACCUGAAGGUUAUGGAUGGCAGGAAAUAUGUCUAUAUUCUGGAAUAUUCUAGAACGUUCUAUGGCCCAAAUGAUGGUGCAGAAGUCUGGCCAUCCUACAGGCUGGCAAGAUGGCUCAGCAGGAAAACGUCCUUGCUGCAAAGGCUGACAAACUGAGUUUUGAACCACUUCCAUACAAUGGACAGACAGAACUGC